AAGGGGAGCAAUCCUCUGAGUAAAGCGGCGCACGGGUGAGUAACACGUGGGUAAUCUACCCUGAAGUGGGGAAUAACACCGGGAAACCGGUGCUAAUACCGCAUAUGAUCACGGUGUUUGCGGACACAGGGAUGAAAGGAGCAAUUCGCUUCAGGAGGAGCCCGCGGCUGAUUAGCUAGUUGGUGAGGUAAUGGCCCACCAAGGCUACGAUCAGUAUCCGGUCUGAGAGGACGGUCGGACACACUGGAACUGAGACACGGUCCAGACUCCUACGGGAGGCAGCAGUGGGGAAUUUUUCGCAAUGGGGGCAACCCUGACGAAGCAACGCCGCGUGGAUGAUGAAGUAUCUCGGU
rnacentral:rRNA from 1 species